rnacentral:rRNA from 1 species
GAUUAACGCUGGCGGCGUGCAUAACACAUGCAAGUCGAACGAUGAAACUUAAAUGAUUUCUUCGGAAUGAACUUAAGUGGAUUAGUGGCGGACGGGUGAGUAACGCGUGAGUAACCUGCCUUACACAAGGGGAUAGCCGUUGGAAACGACGAAUAAUACCCUAUGAUGUUUCUAUCUCGCAUGAGAUAUUAACCAAAGUGUUAGCGGUGUAAGAUGGACUUGCGUCUGAUUAGCUAGUUGGUGAGAAAAAAGCCCACCAAGGCAACGAUCAGUAGCCGGCUUGAGAGAGUGUACGGCCACAUUGGGACUGAGACACUGCCCAGACUCCUACGGGAGGCAGCAGUGGGGAAUUUUGCACAAUGGGGGAAACCCUGAUGCAGCGACGCCGCGUGAUUUAGAAGGCCUUCGGGUUGUAAAAAUCUUUUGUAUAGGAAGAAAAUGACAGUACUAUACGAAUAAGGUCCGGCUAAUUACGUG